AGCCAUAUCAUGUUGAAACACCAGUUCCCAUAAGAUCACCAAAGUUAAGCAAUGUCAAACCUGAUAAGUACCUAGAUGGGUGACAAGUCAGGAAUACCAGGU